GGGGAUGAUCGGUUUCGACAGCGGAUGUCGAAGCAGGGGAAGCGUGUCGAGGAAGCGGCCAUGAUCUCGUAAACCACAGGCCGAAAAAAAUAAUCGCCAACACCAAGCGCGAUUCCUCCUCGUUCGCCCUCGCUGCCUAAUCAGCAGCUGAGCGAACUCUCAUAGGAGUGUCAGCCCGGGGCUGUUCCCGACCCGGAUCCUGGCAUCAGCUAGGGGACUAAACCUUGAUCCCGGUCACGGGGUGAAGAGGGAAACCACACAGUGACUGGGCCCGUCGGCGACUUGUUCGCGUGAUCGCCGGGGCCGAGAAAAGCACAGCGAACUGCACACGGAGAAGCCCUGAUUCCGCACCGUUGGACGCGGGUUCGAUUCCCGCCAUCUCCACCU
rnacentral:tmRNA from 1 species